GCCAGGCUCUGAGGCCGGUCUGGGGACAAGUCGGUCGGACUUUUCAGAAUGACCUCGAAGGCCUGGCCUGAGGCCCGCUUAUUCAGCGCCUUCACCUCCAUAUCUGCUCACACAGACAGACCAAUACAGAGAGAGCAAGGACUUUUCCAUUCUCCCAAAUGAUUCCUGAGUCAUGGUAUGCAUAUUUUAGAGGAACGUGCGAUGCUGAAUUUCUCUGUCUGGGAAGUUUGAGCCCAUUUGAAAGACCUUGAGUGGCAGAAAUAGACACCAUGUAUUGUAUAUGAGGAAUUCACAGCCAUACAAGUCAAUUCCUCCCUUGAAAACAGCAUUACUCAUACAACAGAAAACAGCAUGACUCAUACAAAAGAGCACAUCAUGUGAUAUGAGUAGGACUGAUACUCAGCACAAACACCAUAAAAGUUAAGCUACAGUAUUAAGCAAGUGUAUGUGAUAAGUGAUAAAAAGAUAAGCCUGUAUUGAUUGCUCUGUAGGAGGAGGGAGGUAUUUUGAUUGCACGCAGCCUCAACAUUAUCAUCUCUGAUCAGAUAUUGAUUGACAGCUAAUCAUGGGUUGAAAACAAAAUGGGAGGAAAUCAUGUAAUAUGUAUCAAUCGUAUUAAACUUCUUAACUUCA